rnacentral:lncRNA from 1 species
UAGAUUUUGAAGGUUUUUAUUCAGAAGAAAGGAACAUAGAUUUAGAGUUUGGGUGGAUUUAUAUUCGAUUUGAGUAUGAUUGAUUAUAUUUGUCUGUAAUAUUUGGUAUGAGGAUAUCUUCUUGUGGGUUAAAUUUAUUUAUUUUUCUCCAUGUCUCUAUUUUUCGUUUCUGCUUGCAGCAUUAGAUUAGCCUUAUAAAUUACCCACCAAAUGUUCGAUUAAAUGCCUCAAUAAUGUAUAGCCUGGGCCUGGAUUAAGGUCAGGGUCUAUACUAGAUCUCUGGAUUAAGGUUAGGG